rnacentral:lncRNA from 1 species
UGAUACUCAACCAAGCUAGAGGGGAGGACAGACUAGGGGAAAAAAGAACAGAGUGAAAAGCUCAUAUCACCCUGGUACCAAAUAAAUAAUCAAUGCAAGCAUCAAUUGCAGGAAAAAAAAAAUAUAGGAAUCCCCAGCUUGGUGCUGUUCCCAUAAGGAGCAAAAGAAGCAUAUUCAAAGAGACGUGGGUGGAAAACAAAUCCGUAAAUGAUAUACACUCAGAGAAAGCAAUCUUGACAAAGGAGCAAAAGAAGCAUAUUCAAAGAGACGUGGGUGGAAAACAAAUCCGUAAAUGAUAUACACUCAGAGAAAGCAAUCUUGACAAAGCAUCUUGUUGUCUGGCUACAUAAUCACAAAUUUAAGUUUUCAUAUAGGAGCUCAAGGUCAUAUCUCCUUUACUUUAGUAGUCCUGUCUUCGCAAAAGAGAUGAAUAAUACACGUGCUUAUAAUUAACUUGGAAAACAAACUAUAAAAUCUUCUCCAUAAGUACAGGCAUAAAAUCCAAAUCCUUCAUAGUCCAUACGUGAUACGACAAUGAAAGAAGCGUCCAUAAGACAAAACUAAUUAUUCAUUGCUCUUAUUAUGUUCAUUUUGGUCAUAUU